rnacentral:rRNA from 1 species
UAAGGAAUAUUGGACAAUGGACGCAAGUCUGAUCUAGCCAUGCCGCGUGAAGGAUGAAUGCCCUCUGGGUUGUAAACUUCUUUUAUAGGGGAAGAAAGAUACUUUUUUUAAGGUAGUUGACGGUACCCUAUGAAUAAGCACCGGCUAACUCCGUGCCAGCAGCCGCGGUAAUACGGAGGGUGCAAGCGUUAUCCGGAUUUACUGGGCGUAAAGCGCGUGCAGGCGGAUUGGGGAGUUGGAUGUGAAAGCUCCCGGCUUAACUGGGAGAGGUCGUUCAAUACUUCCAGUCUUGAGUGCAGUAGAGGGAAGUGGAAUUCCGGGUGUAGUGGUGAAAUGCGUAGAUAUCCGGAGGAACACCAGUGGCGAAAGCGGCUUCCUGGACUGUAACUGACGCUCAGACGCGAAAGCUAGGGUAGCAAACG